rnacentral:lncRNA from 10 species
CUGCAAUGAGAUUUGAAUUUAUCUAGAACUUGUUUCAUUCUGAAAUCCUGGAUUCAGGCUCUCAUUUGGCUCCCUAUAUACAUCAUUUAAUUGAAGAAAAAGCUUGACUUUUCCAAUAACUAUUCUAAAAGUAUAAUUGACAGUAAGCUACAAUUUAGUUAGUUUGUAUUUGCAUUUGUGAUUUUCCUGUCAUAUGUGGACUGUUUUGCAUUUGCCAUGAUUGAAUCUCAUUUUGGAAGCAGAGUUUUAAUGAAGAGCUCUUUCUCAGAUAUAGGAAAUUUAAUGAGUGAGCACUUUCUCAUGGUGUAAAAUAUUCUACCAAAACCUUAUUUCCAAUAGGAGGGUCCAGAUAAUCAAAGCUUCGGAUCUCCUAAAACCUGGCUUUGCCUCUUACUUGAGAACUUUGCAAAGAAGAAUGCUAGCCAGUGAAUGUUCAGAGAGGAAGGAAGAAGAAGCUGUCCAAUGACCUUUUUUCUUAUGGCUUUCUAACUUGAUUCUUGACACUGUCACCAAGGAGUAAUCUGUGGAGAGACAUUUGAUUGAUUAUCUCUGCAAUCCUCCCCUCCCCACUUCCUUCUCUGGCCCCUCCUUGUCCACAUGGGCCUCUGGAGAAACCAGCGAGGGAUGACUGGGGAUAAAGGCUCGUCUCUGGAGAGGGCUGCCAACCUCACCUUGUUCCAAGUCUCCACAAAACACAGCCAACCUUCCAGACACAAAAGAAGCACCUCCUGACUCCAUCUCUUUUCCUUGUUUUCUCUCUUUACAAGCAUAUUGGUAUUUUUUCACAGAGAGAUAAUUCCCAUUCACUUCUAGGAAGAAAAUUUCGCUCUCAAAACUGUUGGUGAGAGACCCCUUGAAGAGAGAACUUCUCUGUUCUUCUGGAGGAGAUGAUUUAGUAAGGCAGUGCUGGAGUUCAAACUGAGCCUCCACAGGCCUAACUUGCUUCACUUUUAAGCUUUUAGGAAGAGAGCUUUUAGAGAGAGAAAAUUGCUUUCCAAAAGGGAACUCUAGAAAGAGGACGAAUGAGCAGGGCUGAAACUUUGAGAGAAAAUGGAAGGAGUUGGAAGAUGGAGGGAGGAACCAAAGUAACUAAUAAGAAUUUCUGGGGCUGGGUGCAGUGGCUCACACUUGAAAUCUCAGCACUUUGGGAGGCUGAAGUCGUGGAUCACAUGAGUCCAGGAAUUCAAGAGCAGCCUGGGCAAUAUGGCAAGACCCCGUCUCUACAAAAAAUACAAAAAUUAGCUGGGCAUGGGGGUGUCUGUAGUCCCAGCUACUCGGGAGGCUGAAGCAGGAAGAUCCCUGGAGCCCAGAGGUUGAGGCUGCAGUGGGCCGUAAUCACGCCACUGCGCUCCAGCCUGGACGGCCAAGUGAGACUAUCUCAAAAAAAAAAAAAGAAUUUAUUAAUUUCUUCUUAUGAAAUAUACAAUAUAGGCCCCCUCUUUUUGCUCCUGUAUGAGAAUGUGAAGAAAAGUCUUUGGCUUGAUGUGCAGUCCUGAUUCCUCUGGAUUCCUUUUGGGAGAGAGGUUAGAACAAGAACUGAGGCCUGGUUCCAGUAAGUGCCUGGAUGCAGGACAGCAGGGUAGCUGACAUCCUGGAUAUGCAAAGUAACAGCAUGGAGAAUAAAGGAGUGAGGAAAAUUAAUAAAACAUGGAAUAUUUUAAUAAGACUGCAAGGAAGCAUACAGAGACACAUGGAAAAUACAAAGAUAGCUGUUUUAUUGUAGCAUGGACAUGGACUUUAUGGCUGGCAAUUUGGGCGUUUCAAGCUCUUUUUGUUGUUUACUUGUGGUACAUGUUUGACAAGUAAUUUCCAUUUUCCAAGUCAUUUUUUUCAUCUGUAAAAUGAGACUAAUUCAAAUAACUUCCCUCGAUAGGUUUCUAUUUUUGGUGAGAAUUGUUUUUUUCUUUUCAUGUAGUAUAUAUUUUAUUAGCUUGUACUAAUACAUUCUCAUAUUACAAAGUCAAUUUAGUGGAAGAAUCUUCCUUCUGAUAUUUGAUUCAUGUGAAAUAACACAAACAGAACUAUACAUUCAAAAAAAUUCUCAUUUAGAUAACAAAAAAAAGACAAGUUAAACAACAAAAAUCUUUUCCUUUCUCACAGGUGGACAUUGAAGUGGACCUAAUUCGGUUUUCCUUUUAAAAGCCCCCACAAACAAAAGUAGUUUGAAACCUAUUUAAAAU